GGAGACUGUCUGGCAAGUAGCUACAGACAGGAAGGAGGAAGACAGCAAAUGAAAGGCGAGAUUCUGUAACCAUGGUGAGCAUAGAAGAAGCACUUAAGAGGGGAGCAUGGAAUCUGGAUUAAUGGCUGGUUAAGAGUGGAGCUUUGAUGAUAGCAUAUACCUCAACUACUGUACAGCACACAAGUGACUAUCAUUAUCCCUUUCGUAUCCGUAUAUAUAUAUAUAUAUAUAUUGAUGCAGUAGUUUAACUAAUCUAGUUGAUUGUUUAUUUUAAUGAUGUGUGAGAAGCCUUGAUCUGAAUCUAAAAAUAUUGGGUCAUAAUUUUUAAGGAUUCCUAAAAACAUUUCUAAUC